ensembl:lncRNA
UGGCUGUUAGGAAAGGCAGUGACUCUGCUCACACCAAACCAGUUCUUGGAUUUCACCCUGUGCAGACCAAGCGCACCCCCAGGGCUUCCUGCCGAUGCUCCACGGGCAGCACAUGUGGCAGCAGUGUGCUCGUGGGCAGGCACGUGGUGUGCUGCUGCACCGGAGGGACACUCGUGGCCAUGGGGAGCUGCAGGUGCUUCCUGUGAGUCUAUUCACGUGAGUGAGGGCUUCUAUGUGUUUCUCUCUCAGGUAGCUGUAAGGGCCCUGCAGCAGCGUUUGGUGCCAGCCGGUUCAACAGCUGCCGCCAGAGCCACCAGCGGUAGUGCUGUGCUCUGAAGGAUUCUGAGAAGAGCUGUGAGAACAUACAAAAGUCACAGACACACCUGAUGGUGAGAGCCCUGCAGCCCGGCCUGCUUCAUUCCACGUGCCGCAGCCUGAGUGCUGUCACCAAGAGCCUACAAGGAGAACGGCAGCGGGAUAAUAGGAAGCCUUUCGAACUACCAGAAAUUUCUUCUUGGCUGUAGAGGAAGCACAAGGAGAUUAAGCUUGCUGGGCUAAAGAAAGUGAAUCCACUGCUGUGAGUACAGAAUCUCAGAACUGGAGGGGAUGGAAGGGACCUUUGGAGAUCAUCCAGUCCAAAAGCUCCAUUAACAGCAUGAAAGCUUUUAUUCAGGAUAUGACAAAUGGGAUUUCUGUGACCUCAGCUCAGCUCCAUCUGCUGAUAGAGACAUUAUUUUUGGCUGCAAUACCACUAUCACUUUAAAUAAUUUAGAUUGGAAACAUUCAGGAUGAAUUUCACAAGGAGAUGCUUGUGUUGGAAACCAUGAAGUUUCCUAUGGCAUCCAGAGCUGGGACACUGUCUAGAAG